rnacentral:rRNA from 1 species
GCAAGUCGAACGGGGUAGUUUGGUAGCAAUACUAAGCUGCUCAGUGGCGAACGGGUGCGUAACACGUGGGUAAUAUGCCGGGAAGCAAGGAAUAGCCCAGGGAAACUUGGAUUAAUACCUUAUGUGGUCGCAAGACUAAAGGCGGGGUAACCUGCCACUUCCUGAUUAGCCCGCGGCCUAUCAGCUUGUUGGUGAGGUAAUGGCUCACCAAGGCUACGACGGGUAGCUGGUCUGAGAGGAUGACCAGCCACACUGGAACUGAGACACGGUCCAGACACCUACGGGUGGCAGCAGUCGAGAAUCUUUCACAAUGGGGGAAACCCUGAUGGAGCGACGCCGCGUGGAGGAUAAGGUCUUCGGAUUGUAAACUCCUGUCAUGCGAGAGCAAGAUUUGCUGAGUAACUUUGGCAAAUUUGAUAGUAUCGCAAGAGGAAGAGACGGCUAACUCUGUGCCAGCAGCCGCGGUAAUACAGAGGUCUCAAGCGUUGUUCGGAAUCACUGGGCGUAAAGGGUGCGUAGGUGGCGUGGAAAGUCAGAUGUGAAAUCCGGGGGCUCAACCUCCGAAUUGCAUCCGAUACUCCCAUGCUAGAGAACUGGAGGGGAGUCUGGAAUUCUCGGUGUAGCAGUGAAAUGCGUAGAUAUCGAGAGGAACACUAGUGGCGAAGGCGAGACUCUGGACAGUUUCUGACACUGAUGCACGAAGGCCAGGGUAGCGAACGGGAUUAGAUACCCCGGUAGUCCUGGCAGAAACGGUGCACGUUUGGUGU